UAAAUACUUAGGUAAGAGGAAAGCUGGAUUAAAUAAACAAAUAAAUAACGCGCAAGAGAACAAAGACUUGGUUCAUCAGCACCACCGAUACUGGAGACCUUCUUCCUCUUCGUACGUUUCUCUGUCACCUUUUUACUUAUAUUUCCCCCAAACGUGAUCGUGGAUUCUACUCAAUUCCUCUUCUUCUUUUGACUCUUCCUAUCUUAUAUUUCCCCCAAACAUGAUCGUGGAUUCUACUCAAAACCUCUUCUUCUUUUGACUCUUCCUUAUAUAGUUUUCUUAAAAAGAUUGUUUUUUUCACCUUUUUUUUUGUUGUGUG
rnacentral:lncRNA from 1 species